rnacentral:rRNA from 1 species
ACGGAAGGCAGCAGUGGGGAAUAUUGGGCAAUGGGCGCAAGCCUGACCCAGCAACGCCGCGUGAAGGAAGAAGGCUUUCGGGUUGUAAACUUCUUUUAUCAGGGACGAAGAAAGUGACGGUACCUGAUGAAUAAGCCACGGCUAACUACGUGCCAGCAGCCGCGGUAAUACGUAGGUGGCAAGCGUUGUCCGGAUUUACUGGGUGUAAAGGGCGCGUAGGCGGGAUAGCAAGUCAGGUGUGAAAUCCAUGGGCUCAACCCAUGAACUGCACUUGAAACUGUUAUUCUUGAGUGUCGGAGAGGUAGAUGGAAUUCCUAGUGUAGCGGUGAAAUGCGUAGAUAUUAGGAGGAACACCAGUGGCGAAGGCGGCUUUCUGGACAGAAACUGACGUUGAAGCACGAAAGUGUGGGGAGCAAACAGGAUUAGAUACCCUGGUA